rnacentral:rRNA from 1 species
UACGAAGGGGGCUAGCGUUGCUCGGAAUCACUGGGCGUAAAGGGUGCGUAGGCGGGUCUUUUAGUCAGGGGUGAAAUCCUGGAGCUCAACUCCAGAACUGCCUUUGAUACUGAAGAUCUUGAGUUCGGGAGAGGUGAGUGGAACUGCGAGUGUAGAGGUGAAAUUCGUAGAUAUUCGCAAGAACACCAGUGGCGAAGGCGGCUCACUGGCCCGAUACUGACGCUGAGGCACGAAGGCCAGGGGAGCAAACGGG